rnacentral:rRNA from 1 species
GACGAACGCUGGCGGCGUGCCUAAUACAUGCAAGUAGGACGCACAGUCUAUACCGUAGCUUGCUACACCAUAGGCUGUGAGUUGCGAACGGGUGAGUAACGCGUAGGUAACCUGCCUAUUAGAGGGGGAUAACUAUUGGAAACGAUAGCUAAUACCGCAUAACAGUAUGUAACACAUGUUAGAUGCUUGAAAGAUGCAAUUGCAUCGCUAGUAGAUGGACCUGCGUUGUAUUAGCUAGUAGGUAGGGUAAUGGCCUACCUAGGCGACGAUACAUAGCCGACCUGAGAGGGUGAUCGGCCACACUGGGACUGAGACACGGCCCAGACUCCUACGGGAGGCAGCAGUAGGGAAUCUUCGGCAAUGGGGGGAACCCUGACCGAGCAACGCCGCGGGAGUGAAGAAGGUUUUCGGAUCGUAAAGCUCUGUUGUUAAGGAAGAACGAGUGUGAGAAUGGAAAGUUCAUACUGUGACGGUACUUAACCAGAAAGGGACGGCUAACUACGUG